CCUAAGUGCAAUUUUGCACUAUUUAUAUCCAAUUGUGUUAUUUAAAACUCUUUUAUAAUUAGAAUUUUUAUUACUGUUAGAUGAUAAAAUAUGGAUAGUACUUUUUGUGUGACUUUUUUUUUAAAAAAAGUUUUAUAAUUUUUUAAUUAAGACGAACGGUUAAACGUUGUACACGAAUAUCCACGGCUGUAUUUAUU
rnacentral:pre_miRNA from 1 species